CCUACGUGUGGCAGCAGUGAGGAAUAUUGGUCAAUGGGCGGAAGCCUGAACCAGCCAAGUAGCGUGCAGGAUGACGGCCCUACGGGUUGUAAACUGCUUUUAUACGGGAAUAACGCGCCUUACGUGUAGGGCUUUGCAUGUACCGUAUGAAUAAGGCACGGCUAAUUCCGUGCCAUAAGCCGCGGUAAUACGGAAGGUCCGGGCGUUGUCCGGAUUUAUUGGGUUUCAAGGGAGCGUAGGCCGCAUGUCAAGCGUGCUGUGAAAUGUCCGGGCUCAACCCGGGCCUUGCAGCGCGAACUGGCGUGCGUGAGUCCGCGGAAAGCAGGCGGAAUUCGUCGUGUAGCGGUGAAAUGCUUAGAUAUGACGAAGAACCCCGAUUGCGAAGGCAGCUUGCUGCAGCGGAACUGACGCUGAUGCUCGAAAGCGCGGGUAUCGAACAGGAUUAGAUACCCCUGUAGUC
rnacentral:rRNA from 1 species